CCUACGGGCGGCAGCAGUGGGGAAUAUUGCGCAAUGGGCGAAAGCCUGACGCAGCGACGCCGCGUGAGGGAUGAAGGUCUUCGGAUCGUAAACCUCUGUCAGCAGGGAAGAACGGUCACUGUGCUAAUCAGCAGUGAAUUGACGGUACCUGCAAAGGUAGCACCGGCUAACUCCGUGCCAGCAGCCGCGGUAAUACGGAGGGUGCGAGCGCUAAUCGGAAUUACUGGGCGUAAAGCGCUCGUAGGCGGUAUGUCAAGUCAAGGGUGAAAUCCCCGCGCUGAACGUGGGAACUGCCUUUGAAACUGGCAAACUGGAGAGUGUGAGAGGAUAGUGGAAUUCCAGGUGUAGGGGUGAAAUGCGUAGAUAUCAGGAAGAACAUAGAUGGCGAAGGCGACUAUCUGGCACAUAACUGACGCUGAGGAGCGAAAGCGUGGGUAGCAAACAGGAUUAGAUACCCGAGUAGUC
rnacentral:rRNA from 1 species